GAGUUGAUCUUGGCUCAGAUUGAACGCUGGCGGCAUGCCUUACACAUGCAAGUCGAACGGCAGCAUGAUCUAGCUUGCUAGAUUGAUGGCGAGUGGCGAACGGGUGAGUAAUACAUCGGAACGUGCCCUGUAGUGGGGAUAACUAGUCGAAAGAUUAGCUAAUACUGCAUACGACCUGAGGGUGAAAGUGGGGACCGCAAGGCCUCAUGCUAUAGGAGCGGCCGAUGUCUGAUUAGCUAGUUGGUGGGGUAAAGGCCCACCAAGGCGACGAUCAGUAGCUGGUCUGAGAGGACGAUCAGCCACACUGGGACUGAGACACGGCCCAGACUCCUACGGGAGGCAGCAGUGGGGAAUUUUGGACAAUGGGCGAAAGCCUGAUCCAGCAAUGCCGCGUGUGUGGAGAAGGCCUGG
rnacentral:rRNA from 1 species